UCCUCUCGCACACCAAUUUCCUCCUCGCCUGCCUUCUUCUGAAAGGGAAAGCAACGAAACAGAGAGACGCGAAUCAGCAGCCGCGGCGAUGGCUCUCCCUGCCUCCGGCCUCUCCCGACUCCUCGCGUCCCGCCGCAUCCAGCCCGCCGACAUCUCCGCCGCCGCCACCUGGGGCGUCGCCGCCGGCAGCGCCGCCAUCUACCUCGUCC
rnacentral:lncRNA from 1 species